rfam:Parcubacteria bacterium GW2011_GWA1_60_11 TZ00_C0004, whole genome shotgun sequence.
CUUACAGAGGAUUUGAUCCUGGUCCAGGAUGAACGCUGGCGGCGUGGAUAAGGCAUGCAAGUCGAACGGAACAAACAAGAAGCUCGCAGUGAAAGUCCGAUGAUAGCAAUAUCUGAAGUCCGGAUCUUUGAGCGACGAAUUUGUUUAGUGGCAAACGAGUCAGUAACGCCUUGGAACCUGCCCCGAAGACGGAAAUAAUUCGCCGAAAGGCGAACUAAUGUCCGAUAGUCUCGCAAGAGUAACGGGAACCCGCAAGGGAACCGCUUCGGGAGGGGCCUAGGUCCGAUCAGCUAGUUGGUAGGGUAACGGCCUACCAAGGCUAUGACCGGUAGGGGGCCCGAGAGGGUGUUCCCCGACGAUGCAACUGAGACACGGUGCAUACUCCUACGGGAGGCAGCAGUCGAGAAUAUUCGACAAUGGGCGAAAGCCUGAUCGAGCGACGCCGCGUGCAGGAAGAAGGCCUUCGGGUCGUAAACUGUACCCUGCGGAAAGAGGCGGGUAACUACGUGCCAGCACCAGCGGUAAUACGUAGACCUCGAGCGUUAUCCGGAUUUAUUGGGCGUAAAGCGUGUGUAGGAGGUUCGGGAAGUCUGAUGUCAAAUCUCAGGGCCUAACCCUGAGGCCGCAUUGGAUACUGCCGGACUAGAGGAUGUGAGAGGUUGAUGGAACGCACGGUGUAGGGGUGACAUCCGUUGAUAUCGUGCGGAACACCAAAGGCGAAGGCAGUCAACUGGAACAUUCCUGACUCUGAGACACGAAAGCGUGGGGAGCAAAAAGGAUUAGAUACCCUUGUAGUCCACGCCGUAAACGAUGCCUGCUGGCUGUUUCGAGUAUCGACCCUCGGAGUGGCGAAGCUAACGCGUUAAGCAGGCCGCCUGGGAAGUACGAGCGCAAGCUUAAAACUCAAAGGAAUAGACGGGGACUCGCACAAGCGGUGGAGCAUGAGGUUUAAUUCGAUGUUGAGCGAGGAACCUUACCAGGGCUUGAAAUUCUACUGAAGACAGUGGGAAACCAUUGUCGUCUCUCAAGGACAGUAGAACAGGUGCUGCAUGGUUGUCGUCAGCUCGUGUCUUGAGAUGUUCCCUUCAGUGGGGUAACGAGCGCAACCCCUACCCAAUGUUAUAUGUGUCAUUGGGAACUGCCGAGCUAAGCUCGGAGGAAGGCGGGGAUGACGUCAAAUCCGCAUGGCCCUCUGAUGCCCUGGGCCACACUCAUGCUACAAUGGGCGGUACAAUGGGUUGCCAAGCCGUAAGGCGGAGCUAAUCCCAUCAAAACCGUCCCCAGUUCGGAUUGAGGGCUGCAACUCGCCCUCAUGAAGCCGGAAUCGCUAGUAAUCGCGGAUCAGCCUCGCCGCGGUGAAUACGUUCUCGAGUCCUGUACUCACCGCCCGUCAAGCCAAGGGAGCCGGGAAUAGAUGAAGUUCGCUUCGGCGGAUCAGUCUAAGUUCGGUGACAUGGGCUAAGUCGUAACAAGGCACGCGUAGCGGAAGCUGUGCGUGGAUCAAUUACACA